ACGGUGAAACUCAAAGGAAUUGACGGGGGCCCGCACAAGCGGAGGAACAUGUGGUUUAAUUCGAUGAUACGCGAGGAACCUUACCCGGGCUUGAACUGCCAGCGGACGAUACAGAGAUGUUGAGGCCCUUCGGGGCGCUGGUGGAGGUGCUGCAUGGUUGUCGUCAGCUCGUGCCGUGAGGUGUCGGCUUAAGUGCCAUAACGAGCGCAACCCCUUUCGCCAGUUGCCAUCAGGUGAUGCUGGGCACUCCGGCGACACUGCCACCGUAAGGUGCGAGGAAGGUGGGGAUGACGUCAAAUCAGCACGGCCCUUACGUCCGGGGCUACACACGUGUUACAAUGGGUGGUACAGAGAGUCGGCCGUACGCAAGUGCGGUCCAAUCAUGAAAGCCACCCUCAGUUCGGAUUGGGGUCUGCAACCCGACCCCAUGAAGCUGGAUUCGCUAGUAAUCGCGCAUCAGCCAUGGCGCGGUGAAUACGUUCCCGGGCCUUGNNNNNNNNNNNNNNNNNGACCGCGAGGGUCGGCCUAGGGUGAAACAGGUGAUUGGGGCUAAGUCGUAACAAGGUAGCCGUACCGGAAGGUGCGGCUGGAACACCUCCUUU
rnacentral:ncRNA from 1 species